UUCCUCUCUCUACAAUUUUUUAGCUGCAAGUGUUUAGCUUAACACAAAAAUACUUGCACUUUGUUGUUCAAAGAAUCUAUGAUAAAUUGUAACAUAUUGUUUGAGUAAUACUUUUGUGAGACCCUGGAACUGGGUCCGGUCCACUUGACCGGCCUAGUCCCAACACUUGCACGUGAGGCAGCAACGGGAUGGAUUCUUUCCAUCCCGAAGAAGAAGGAGGAGCCCUGUUUUAGGGCUUCCUUCUCCUUCUUCUUCUCCUUUGAGCCCACCGAAGGAGAGCCGCCGCACGCAAAGGGAGGAGGGUCUUCUUCGUGUGGCCACCGAGAGAGAGGGAGAGAGGGAGAGAGAGAGAGAGAGAGAGGGAGAGAGGGAGAGAGAGAGGAGCCACGGCACCGGGUGGUCUCCUUCUUCCUUGCCGCCGGAGAAGAGAGGUGCCGUCUUCGUCGGGGCUAAGGUGCUGCAAGGGAUUUGCGGAAAUAAUUGGAUUUGUUGUGGAUCGCGUUCGCAAGAUUUCGAGAACUAAUCUAUUGGGGAUUCAAAUUGGGG